rnacentral:rRNA from 1 species
AACGUAGGAGGCAAGCGUUAUCCGGAGUUACUGGGCGUAAAGCGCAUGUAGGCGGUUAUGCAAGUGGCGUGUGAAAGCUCCCGGCUAAACUGGGAGAGGACACGCCAGACUGCAUGGCUAGAGGGUGUUAGAGGGGCGCAGAAUUCGGGGUGUAGCGGUGAAAUGCGCAGAUAUCAGGAGGAACACCGGUCGCGAAGGCGGGUCUCUGGGCCGAUACUGACGCUGAGGAGCGAAAGCGUGGGGAGCGAACAGG